rnacentral:rRNA from 3 species
AGUUUUUACAGAACGCAGACAGUGGAUGCCUUGGUAUGAAGUACCGAAGAAGGACGUACAUGAUCACGAUAGUCGUCGGGGAGGAGUCACGAUCCUGUGAUCCGGCGGUGUCCGAAUGGGGAAACCCACAGCGCUUCAUCGCGUUGGACUCGUGCCCCAAGGGGCACUUCAAACUGUUAACACUUAACUUUUAACAAAUUAACAAGAUAAAGCUCAAUAACAUUUUUAGCUUUCGGUUAAUAGUUAAUUGUCAAUUGUUGAUAGUUCGAAGUGCCUAAUAAGGCAGGUAGAGGGUACCACCCGAACUGAAACAUCUAAGUAGGGUGAGGAAGAGAAAUCAAUAGAGAUUGCGUCAGUAGCGGAGAGCGAAAUCGCAACAGCCUAAACCACUGUGCUUCGCACAGAGCUUUUAACAUUUAACUUUUAACAAAUUAACUAAAAAAGCGUAAUCUUAAUUUUAUAUUUUCUUUCUUAAGUUGAUAGUUAAUUGUUGAUUUGUUGAGGGUUCCGCGCGGAGUGCGGUGGGGUUGCAGGACUCCGAUAUGGGACCUCGUUAGAUAGCUGAAUGACUUGGAAUAGUCAAUCAUAGAGAGUGAAAAUCUCGUAAGCGAAAUCAAGCGGGGCUCUAGGAGUAUCCUAAGUAUCCCGAUGCAAAUACUUCGGGAGAAUCCGGGGGAACCAUCCUCCAAGGCUAAAUAUACUUCAUAACCGAUAGUGAACAAGUACCGUGAGGGAAAGGCGAAAAGAUGAGCGGGACGCUCAGUGAAAUAGAACCUGAAACUGUUUGCGGACAAACCGUCAGAGCUGCUGUGCAGCUCUGAACAAUUAACUUUUAACUUUUAACAAAUUAACCAAUAAAGAGCUUGCUUUAGAAUUUUAUAUAACUCUUUAAGUUAAUUGUUAAUUGUCAAUUGUUGAUAGUUCAGCGCUGUGCAACAGUGAUGACGUGCCUAUUGAAGAAUGAGCCGGCGAGUUGCCGCGUAGCGCAUAGUCUAACCGAGUCUGACUCGGGAAGGCGCAGGGAAACCAAGUCUGAAUAGGGCGAUUAGCGCGAAGUGGCAGACCCGAAACCAGGUGAUCUAUCCAUGAGCAGGGUGAACUCCGUCGAAAGACGGAAGGAGGCCCGAACCCGUUGAUGUUGCAAUAUCAUGGGAUGACUUGUGGAUAGUGGUAAAAUGCCAACCGAACCUGGAGAUAGCUGGUUCUCCCCGAAAGGUCUAUAGGGACCGUGGUAGUGUAAAGCAUAGAGGUGGUAGAGCUACUGAAUGGGUAGGCGAGGGUAACCGAGUCUACUUAACCAAACUCCGAAUAACUCUAUGGAUCCGCUACUAGACAGUCAUAUCGGGCUAAGCUGAUAUGACGAAAGGGAAACAACCCAGACUUUCAGCUAAGGCCUCUAAAUCACAACUAAGUUUCAAAGGAAGUCAGUAUCCCCAAACAGCCAGGAGGUUGGCUUAGAAGCAGCCACCCUUUAAAGAUAGCGUAACAGCUCACUGGUCGAGGAUGCGGGCGCCUAAAAUUUAUCGAGGAUAAGUUGUGUGCCGAAGCUAGAGAUGCUCGUACUUCGUACGAGAUUUAUCAUUUUUCAUUUUUCAUUAUCCACUUAAUUUCAAUUGAUCAAUUUUCAAAUUGUUAAAUUAAUGGCAGAUGUUAAAUGAUUAAAUGAACGAUCUCGCACGGAGUGCGAGUGUGGUAGGGGAGCGUUCCAUGUGCAGUGAAGUUCGUCUGUAAGGACGGGUGGAGUGCAUGGAAGUGAGAAUGCCGGCAUGAGUAGCGUAUAUCCCGGUGAGAAUCCGGGACGCCGAAUACCCAAGGUUUCCGUCGCUAGGUUCGUCCACGACGGGUUAGUCGGCACCUAAGGCGAGGCCGUAUGGCGUAGUCGAUGGGUGACAGGUCAAAAUUCCUGUAUUUACCUUGAAUCGAAAGAGCGUGCGUAGCACGCAGCGCAUAGAACAUAGCGCAUAGCGCAGAGAUUAAGAUUUGUUCAAUUCUUUUUCCUAUGCACUUUGCACUUUGAACUUUGCUCUGCAUGCUGCGCAUGCUAGUUGGGGACUGACUGAGUUGGAUAGCUAGGGCCCCUUCGUGAAGUUGGGUGUAAGUUGCAAAAUAGUGUCAGUUGGAAAAUCCGCUGAUGUGAUUAAUUGAGCAGUGAUGCAAAGCUGGCAGAAAUGCUGGUGAUCCUAACCUAUUCAGCUUACAAGAAAAGGUUCGCAACGAGAUUUAAGAUAAGCCGUACCGCAAACCGACACAGGUGGGUUGGUAGAGAAUACUAAGGCGAUCGAGAGAAAGAGGCUUAAGGAACUCGGCAAAUUAGCUGGACGUAAGUUCGCAAGAUGUCCUUCCCGACAGCGCAAGCUUGUCGGGAUACAACAAAAGAAUGCUAACCGACUGUUUAUCAAAAACACAGGUCCGUGCAAAAGCGAAAGCUGAAGUAUACGGGCUGAUGCCUGCCCAGUGCCGGUAAGUGAAGAGGAUCCCUGACUCCGCAAGGUUUUUGGGGUGAAUUCAAGCUCCGGUAAACGGCAGCAGUAACUAUGAAACAUUUGUAGUUCUAAAAGUCGACUAUAUGCUGGAACAUCCGGUUGUAUAUGUUGGUACUAGAUUAGAUAAUUUAUUUAGUGAAAAUCCAACAUCGGACGUUGUUCAGUGCGCCGCGUCAAACGCGGCUGGCACGUUCGACGUGCCGGACAAUCAGCAGGAAAGGCCUUUCUGGAAAUAAUAUUGGAUAUUUUCUUGCAGGAUUUGUAGAAGGAGAAGGAAGUUUUAAUGUCUCAUUACGACGAAAAGUUGAUUAUAAAGUUAAUUGGCAAGUAGUGAUGAGUUUUAAUGUUUCGCAAAAAGAUCCUUCAAUUUUAUUUCUGUUAAAACAGGAGUUGGAUUGCGGGAUUAUUAAAGUUAGAAAAAUUGACAAACUUUAUUCUUUCGAUGUAACAAAUCCACAAGAUAUAAUCCGAAAAGUCAUUCCGUAUUUUAAAAGAUUUCCUAUUGUUUCAGUAUCAAAAAGGAAGAACUUUGCAAUAUUUUGCAAAAUUGCUUCUUUAAUGGAUAAAGGGGAACACAGGAGUAUAGAUGGUCUCAGGAAAAUUCUCGAACUUCGGGAGAGAAUUAACGUAGGAAAAGGUAGGACCAGAAAGUAUGGAAUAAAAGAUAUUUUUCCUGAAAUGGAAUCCUCAGAGACUAUACGUCGACCUUCGGUAUUAAAACCGGAGAUGAUAUAGUCCGACCUCUAUAGCGAUAUAGAGACUACGUAACCAUCCGUAGCAUGUAACAAAAGUGAACUGUUCUACGGUAGCGAAGUUCCUUGUCGGGUAAGUUCCGACCCGCACGAAAGGCAUAACGAGUUAGCAACUGUCUCGAGCCUCUACUCGGCGAAAUUGCGAUGGCUGUGAAGACGCGGCCUACUUCCAUCAGGACAAAAAGACCCCGUGGAGCUUUACUGUAACCUGGUAUUGUUUUGUGCGUUUUAAUUGUUUAGUGUAGGAGGGAGGUACGUUCAUUUACUGAACGUACCACAAGUGAAAUACCUCCCUUUGAAACGUUUCAAAUCUUACUUAAUUCCGAUGAAGACUCGGAAAAGAAAAGUGCUAGGUGGGCAGUUUUACUGGGGCGGUACCUUGCCAAAAGGUAACGCAAGGGCACAAAGGUCGGCUUAGCACGGAUGGACAUCGUGCUGAAUGUGUAAAAGCAUAAGCCGGCUUGACUGCGACAGCGACGGCUGGAGCAGGUGCGAAAGCAGGUUUUAAUGAUCCUCCAAAGUCAUGUGGGUGACUUGGAGCUUAACGGAUAAAAGCUACCCCGGGGAUAACAGAGUAGUCGCGCCCGAGAGUCCAUAUCGACGGCGCGGAUCGCUACCUCGAUGUCGGCUCAUCACAUCCUGGGGCUGGAGAAGGUCCCAAGGGUUGGUCUGUUCGCCCAUUAAAGUGGUACGUGAGCUGGGUUCAGAACGUCGCGAGACAGUUGAGGCUGUUUUAACAUUUCAGCCUGACAUUUCGAGCUGUCUUCCUACAAACGUUCAUGAACUUUCUGUUUGAACUACAGAGAAGAGGUUCUGUUAAUGUAGGUUCGGUAAGUCCUACCGAGAUAAAUCUGGCUAUAUGCUGGAAAAUCUUGUUAAAUGUUAAUCUACUAGUAUAUAAUUUAGUUACUAGUGAAAAUGAUUAACCUGAGAUGAUCAGCAGGAAAGGCUAGUUAUAUAUGUCCAUUAAAGUCAGUGAUGACUAUCUUGUCGGCUUUGUAGAAGGAGAGGGAAUGUUUUACAUAGGUGUAGUUCCCUCCAAAGAAACAAAAACAGGCUGGCAAGUUAUCUAUUUUUUCAAAGUAUCUCAGAAUCCAAGCGGCAAAGUUGUAUUAGAUCAACUUAAACAAAGGCUCGGAUGCGGAUACAUAAAAAUGAAUAGUCAAACUGAUUUGACUGACAAAUCUUUAGCAUAUGUUGUGAGAGAUCUGCCUAGUCUAAUGGAAAAGAUUAUUCCUUUUUUUGAAGACAAAUUGGUCAUUAAAAGAAGUAAUUUUGACAAGUUCAAGAAAGUUCUCGAGCUUGUUUACAAAAAAGAUCAUUUGUUUAAAAACGGAAUUAAGGAAAUUUUGGAUAUUGCUUACUCAAUGAAUACCCAAAAAAGAAGAGUAGGUAAAGAAGAAAUUCUGAAAGCAUAUACAAACUAGACUCCCCACAGGCCAUACGCCAGAGGCCGCGGAGCUCGAAAGAGCGAAGUGGUCAAGAUAUGGUCGGACCCCAUUGGCGACAGUGGGAACUAGCAGGAACAAGAAACUAGCUAGUAAUAAUUACUAUUUAACAAUAAUGUCGGACUCUAUCCGGUGGAAGCGUUUGAGUUUUGAAGGGAGCUGGCCUCAGUACGAGAGGACCAGGCUGGGGGAAUCCCUGGUGUGCCGGUUGUCGCGUCAGCGGCAGCGCCGGGUAGCUAUAUUCCCACGGGAUAACCGCUGAAAGCAUCUAAGUGGGAAGCCCACCCUAAGAUUAGAACUCAUAGAUCCCUCGAAGACCACGAGGUUAAUCGGCAGGCAGUGGAAGUCCUGUAAAGGAUUAAGCUUACCUGUGCGAAUCGAUCGAAA